AUCAGUGGCGAACGGGUGAGUAACACGUGAGUAACCUGCCCCAGACUCUGGGAUAAGCACUGGAAACGGUGUCUAAUACCGGAUACGAGCUUCAGCCGCAUGGCUAGGAGUUGGAAAGAAUUUCGGUCUGGGAUGGACUCGCGGCCUAUCAGCUAGUUGGUGAGGUAAUGGCUCACCAAGGCGACGACGGGUAGCCGGCCUGAGAGGGUGACCGGCCACACUGGGACUGAGACACGGCCCAGACUCCUACGGGAGGCAGCAGUGGGGAAUAUUGCACAAUGGGCGCAAGCCUGAUGCAGCAACGCCGCGUGAGGGACGACGGCCUUCGGGUUGUAAACCUCUUUUAGUAGGGAAGAAGCGAAAGUGACGGUACCUGCAGAAAAAGCACCGGCUAACUACGUGCCAGCAGCCGCGGUAAUACGUAGGGUGCAAGCGUUAUCCGGAAUUAUUGGGCGUAAAGAGCUCGUAGGCGG
rnacentral:rRNA from 1 species